CAAAUUUUAGUUUUUUUUUUCUUCUUCUUCCUCUCGGUUUCUUCUCGAUUUCUGCUCUCUGAACUUCUGGUGAUUUUGGUUCGAGUUCGAGAACGCAAAGAAAGGAUGGGUUUUACCUGAAUUAGAUGUCGCAGCAGUUAAAUGUGAUGAACGGAGAGUGUUUUGGUCUGUGUUAGGGUUUUAAAUUGAAUUAGAAUCGAGAGAAAAAGGGGAGGCGUUGUUAAUGGAAAAAACGAGAGCAUGCAGAGAGAUAAAUUGAGAAGAUGAAGAAUAGAGAUCUUCCAUAGAUGGGGAAUAGGUUUGUGUUUGAAUCACUUGAUUUGGAAGAAGAAACCAGAAAAGAAAUUGAUGGUGAUGUUCUCAGUUGAUGAAGAAGAUGAAGAGGUUUAUAUGAAUGUUGGGACAUGGGUUAAUGGGUUCUCGAAUUCAAGCAAUAAAGGUGAUGAAUUUGGGAAGAACUGUGAGUUUAGUAUUCUGAAAUUGCAAUUAGGAUUUUGAAUUUGAUUCGAGUUGAUGAUGGCCGCUGUUGUGAAUUGAGAUAGCUGUUGGUCUUGAAAUUGAAGACAUAUGAGAUCUGGUGUUGAUUUGAAGGGGUAGGUCAUGGAUUUGAAGAUGUGGUAGUGCUUCUGGUGAUUGGUUGUAGAUGAAGUUGCACUUACAGAGAUGUGGUUUUGGACAGUGACUUGAGCAAGUGGUGAAAUAACAGUUGACAGUGAUGCAGCUGUAGUUGGAAAUGGAAUGCUUUGUUGUUGCUGCAUAUGGCUCAGGUUGUGAGAAUUCAAGACAUAAAUUGAAGAUGAUGGUACUGGACUCAACAAUAAAUGGAGUUGGCCUUGCAGGAAUUUUGUUGCUGAGUCAAGUGGUGAUUGAGUUGGUCUUGUAGCUGAGUGCAGAAGGCUGAAGGGUUUGAGGGUGCUGUGAUAAUAGGUUGUGUAGGCAUGAAGCUACAGGUGUUGUUCGCACCAAGUCAGAAUUGCAAUUCUGGUGGAGAUACUGCAAUACAGUAAAUGGCACGUGCAUCUAGAUGUAUGUUUAGGACUGCACAGGGAUAUGGAGAAUGAAGCGGGAGCUGGUUAUGAGGUUGUAUUCAAGGGGCUGAAGUUGGUGAUUUUGGUGUGUUGGUUGCAGAUGAUAUUAUGAAGAGUUUUGUUCAAAUGGGUGUUUCGAAAUCAAUUGACGCACUUGAGCUUCAAAUGGGUUGUGGCGCGUUUGAAGUAGUAGUAGGUUUAAUAGGUUUAUCUGGGCAAAGGUCUGCGUUUCCAAUAGCCAGACUGAAGAAUUUGCCUCUCAAAACAUAGCUGAACAAACUCUAAUUAGUCAUUUGAAAAGUCAAAGUAAUUGGUGCCAGAAAAUUUGUGCAGUUCGUUUUGCUGGAACUCAGCCACUGAAUGUUGUUGCAUUUGUCCUUGAUGGGCUCUAUUAUGGGGUUUCAGACUUUGCAUAUGCAACAUACUCCAUGGCUUUUGAUUGGACUGGCUUCAUCAUUGUUCAUACUGGUGUCUGUUCCGGUGUAUGGUUUAGCUGAAGUUUGGAUGGGAUUAUUUCUUUUCAUGAUCUUACGAGUAUUUGCUGGGAUUUGGAGACUGGGAAGCAAGAGUGGACCGUGGAUAACUGUUUGGUCUCAGAUAGAGCAGAAAAGUAACUGAAGUACUUUUGAACAUUCAGUAGUAGAUGAGAAGGUAGUUCAGCUCAAAUUCGUGAACAUGUGUAACUUAUUUGUUUUACUUCUGAACUAAAUUUUAAUAGGUUUUCAAAAAUCUGAAAUGUUAGUGAUUAUGAACACGUCUAAUUUUUUUUUCCUUUACAAAUCUGAAUCCAUGCAAUCACGUAGCGGUGUCGUUUCGUCAACUUCUUCGGUCGGUCCUCCCACCGUGUCAACGGUUGUACUAGUUAUUCUUAACCAAGAUUGUUAAGGAUCUAUGAACAUCCAUCGAUUGACUCAUAUUUCAAAAGAUUUAUCAAGACAAGCUUGAC